GGAUUAGAUUGUCGGUCGUGCCUCGGUACGCACUGGCAUUAUUGGUUCCUACCUUCUGAAGAACCGCGAUGUCAUUAAUUUGGUAUCGUGGGGAAUCAGGACUGUUACUUUGAAAAAAUUAGAGUGUUUAAAGCAAGCGCACGCUUGAAUACAUUAGCAUGGAAUAAUGAAAUAGGACGUUUGAUUCUAUUUUGUUGGUUUCUAGGAUCGACGUAAUGAUUAAUAGGGAUAGUUGGG
rnacentral:rRNA from 1 species